rnacentral:tRNA from 1 species
GGGGAUGUAACUCAAUGGUAGAGGAGUUGCCUUUUAAGCAACGGGUUGCGGGUUCGAGUCCUGCCAUCCCCA